rnacentral:rRNA from 1 species
AUACGGAGGGUCUAAGCGUUAUCCGGAAUCAUUGGGUUUAAAGGGUCCGCAGGCGGUCAAUUAAGUCAGAGGUGAAAGCCCAUCGCUCAACGAUGGAACUGCCUUUGAUACUGGUUGACUUGAGUUAUACGGAAGUAGAUAGAAUAAGUAGUGUAGCGGUGAAAUGCAUAGAUAUUACUUAGAAUACCGAUUGCGAAGGCAGUCUACUACGUAUAUGCUGACGCUGAGGGACGAAAGCGUGGGGAGCGAACAGGAUUAGAAACCCGUGUAGUCC